rnacentral:tRNA from 1 species
GGGCCAGUAGCUCAGUGGUAGAGCAUCGGCUUUGCAAGCCGAGGGUCAGGGGUUCAAAUCCCCUCUGGUCCACCA